AACGAACGCUGGCGGUAUGCCUAACACAUGCAAGUCGAACGAGACCUUCGGGUCUGGUGGCGCACGGGUGCGUAGCGCGUGGGAACCUGCCCUUAGGCGCGGACUAACUCCCCGAAAGGGGUGCUAAUACCGGAUAAUGUCUUCCGAACAAAGAUUUAGCGCCUUUGGAUGGGCCCGCGUUAGAUUAGCUAGUUGGUAGAGUAAGAGCCUACCAAGGCGACGAUGCAUAGCUGGUCUGGGAGGAUGAACAGCCACACUGGGACUGAGACACGGCGCAGACUCCUACGGGAGGCAGCAGUGGGGAAUAUGGGACAAUGGGCGAAAGCCUGAGCCAGCAAUGCCGCGUGAGGGAUGAAGGUCUUAGGGUUGUAAAGCUCUUGUACCCUGGAUGAUAAUGACAGUACCGGGAGAAUAAGCUCCGGCUAACUCCGUG
rnacentral:rRNA from 1 species